rnacentral:misc_RNA from 1 species
AUCGUUACGCGGAAUAUCAGAGAAUAUCUUUGGUGGUUUGCAGACGAGAUUAAUCAAAUAUAUGAACAUACUUUGUGGUUUAUGGUUUAACAUACGGUCUCAAAAAUAUCGUAGGCCCAUUAUGGGCGGGGUCGUGGCUUGGGUCGAGUGAGAGACAUGGAGCGACCUCAGUGUUCUCAGUGGUGAGCUGCACGGCCAUCGCCGACCGUCGGUUUGGCCUAGCACAAUCAACGUAUUCUGCUAUGACAUCGCUCUGAAAAUCCCAGAUUAUCCCAGUAAAAGGUUUUCUCUCGAUAGCCGAAAUUGGAGGAGUUAACGUGAGGCGUGCACGUUUCUUACGGAGGGGCCAGAAACGUGUGCGAGAUCGGGCGAAAUUGGGCGGCCAAAGUUAACCUCAGCCUUGCCGUCGUGUCGUCCUGUUUCAACCACGAAAACAAACCAGGAAAAAAAGGUGGAGCGAUACCGAGGCUCACUGUGAAAGAGAAAGAAAAAGAAAAAAGCGAAGGGGGAGGGAAUGAACGGCCCUGGGAGUCAUCAGCAUCGCGGCUUGGGCAUGCAGGGACGUUACAGGGCCGUAGUAACCGGUGGCACCACGGCAGGGCCCCACUCUCGCCCCCCAGCGCCACCUCUCGUCCGCGGUGGAUGGCACCCCCAUAAUCAGCACCCUCAGCACGCCCAGAUACCCCAGCAAUACACCGGCAACAAGGAAUACCCGUAUCGACAAUGUCCACCACCACGCUUCCAUAAUGGGGAUUGCCCUGGCGUUGGUACGUCUUCCGGACCAAACGGUAAGGAAGUUUCGUAUCACGGGAACGUAGGCGGGUCUAGCGUGGGGUACAAACCGCCCCCGCAACAUAGUCCGCAAUCAAGAGGCCCACCGGCACAUUUUCCGCAAGAGUCCGUGAGCCCACCGGCUAAUUCUCCGCCGUUGCACAUUAACAUCUGUGGUCAAGAUAAUACGAUGCGUGGUCCAUUAUUGAAUAUGAGUCCAGGUCUUGGAGCUAGCGGCGUCGAUAUGGAGUAUCGUAGAAGUUCCCAAGCCACAAACCAGCUACCUCUAAGUCCUGUACAAAUACAGCCAUCGCCGCCAUAUUACAGACAACCUAGUCAAGAUGAUGGUAGAAAGAGCGAGUCACCAUCUAGAAAACGUCGUCGAAUAUCCCGCAAUGGUGCCGUCUCUGGAAUAGAAGUCCGUGAGACAACGCCACCAUCACCUACACCGCCAUUACACACGACUCCACCUCCAUGGGAAUUCUCAGCAGCGCCUCAGAGGCGAUCACCUCGGAAUCACAUGUCCACACGCGGCAGUCCAACUAUCAGAAAUCGUUAUCAACGAUAUACGGAUUCGUUUGGUUUAUCCUAUCCUUUUGUGCCCGGUCACACCCCUCUUCCGCCCAUUCACAGUUCCCAUCACGGACUCCUCAGUUCUCAUCACAACAUUCACAAUUCGCACCAUAAUUUACAUAACUCGCAUCAUAACAUGCAUAACGCCCAUCAGACUCAUCCUCAUCAUCCACCGGGCACUGGGCAUCAUCCUGCCCAAGGAGCAAAUGGUCCCGUGGUUGUAGAAGUUGGGCAACUCGGUUUGGAGGUUACCGUUAGCAGGGAACUGCUCUGGCAUCCUCCGGCGACAGGUUAUAGGAUUCCUUGCCAGUUACAUGGCAUAUAUACACCGACCGGAGCAUUUGCGCAUUCAUGUCAGGUCACUCAUCACCAUAGUCACUACUCAGCUCCACAUCCGACCCACUCGGGUCAUAGCCUCGUUGGUUCGAUAGUAGGUGCAGCAUCCAGAGGUUAUCCUACACCAACUGGAGGUCCUGUAACAGCACUCCACCACGCUCAUGCGUCACCACCACCCGUCCAUACUACUCAUUACAAUGCGCACCAUCAACUCUCCCAACAGCGGGAAGUUGAAUUAGAAUUAAUGGAAUCCCAUCAUCACCACAGAGUAGGAGCUGCAGCCAGUGCAGCAUUACCACAUUCAUAUUCUCCGCCAGCUCUCACUCAAGUCACUACUCCUACUCCUACUCCCAUAUUCUUAUCAGAAACGAGAAACAGUCAAUUGGAUAUGAUUCAGACCAGAACACGGCGCACAGCGUCGAAUGUUCACACGCUCAGACGAUCCAGGUCGAACAGAUGGAGAGGUAUGCUUCCAGUGCCGACUACCUAUACAGGAUUCUUGUUACAUUUUUUCGCAAUGUUCAACAAUGCAACAUUGCCCCCGUAUAGUCAAGGAGAAUUAUCUUCACCAGACUCGGCAACCGAAAAUUACGAGGCCCUGCUAUCCUUGGCGGAGAGAUUAGGAGAAGCUAAGCCACGAGGCCUAACUCGAGCCGAAGUGGAGCAGCUACCCUCGUACAAAUUUAACGCGGAAACGCACCAGGGAGACCAAACUAAUUGCGUGGUCUGUAUGUGCGACUUUGAGGCUCUACAAUCGCUGCGCGUUCUGCCGUGCUCACACGAAUUCCACUCAAAAUGCAUCGACAAGUGGCUGAAGUCAAAUCGAACUUGUCCAAUUUGCCGCGGCGACGCUGGGGAAUACUUUGGAAAUAGCGGAACUGGUAGCGACUGACGCCAAGCCGCCCAAGUACACUAGCGCCAACUGUCACGGGUCUCAGGGACGCUACUCGGCACAGAGAUUCCAGCAAUCACAUUGCUGGUUUGUGCAAAUUUCUGUUGACAAGCAUUUCUUCCCUUUUCUCUGACCGAGCCGUGUGUGUCACGAUUAACCACCUCGACUUCGUGAAGAGGAGGGGAUUGGAAAUGAAUGAAGAACGGAAAACGAAAAAUACGGGGAAAAAGAGUAAAAUUCAGGGUAUGAUGUCAGGGUGUUUGGUGUCGAGAAAAGGACCACACACACGCAAUAAAGAGAAGUUGAAGAGAGAGAUUAGAGAAAGAGAGAGUGUAUAAUAACGUGUAAUGAGCAAAUCAACCAAGAUUGAAAGAAACGAAGAGAAAGAGUUCCAGAGAUUUGUUAAAAGCUACUGCGCAUUUCACGUCAGGAAAUGAAAAUCUGACUAUGUAUUCGUUUUGUUUCAUCGACGCGCUUCGAGUUUAACUAUAUCGUGUUUAACGUUUGUUGUUUUCUCUUUUUCGUGUUGCUACUUCGUCAAAGUGUCGGGUUUAUUCUGUACAUAUAUAAUUACGUAAUAUGCAAAACUAUC